CGGGCAGUAUCCUUUUUCAGGAAUUGCACCUGCAAGUAAUGAAAACCAGAUUUUAAUAGUUCUGCCUUGAUCCGGAAUUCGGACUGGGACAGAGGG
rfam:Bacillus cibi strain DSM 16189 Contig04, whole genome shotgun sequence.